rnacentral:rRNA from 1 species
GUCUUUGAUGUUAAUCCAUUAACAACUUUCAGCAGUGGAUGUCUAGGCUCGCACAUCGAUGAAGAACGCUGCGAACUGCGAUACGUAAUGCGAAUUGCAGGAUUCAGUGAGUCAUCGAAAUUUUGAACGCAUAUUGCACUUUCGGGUUAUGCCUGGAAG